rnacentral:rRNA from 1 species
AGUGAACGCUGGCGGUAGGCCUAACACAUGCAAGUCGAACGGCGGCACAGUAAGAGCUUGCUCUUACGGGUGGCGAGUGGCGGACGGGUGAGGAAUACAUCGGGAUCUACUUUUUCGUGGGGGAUAACGUAGGGAAACUUACGCUAAUACCGCAUACGACCUACGGGUGAAAGCAGGGGAUCUUCGGACCUUGCGCGAUUGAAUGAGCCGAUGUCGGAUUAGCUAGUUGGCGGGGUAAAGGCCCACCAAGGCGACGAUCCGUAGCUGGUCUGAGAGGAUGAUCAGCCACACUGGAACUGAGACACGGUCCAGACUCCUACGGGAGGCAGCAGUGGGGAAUAUUGGACAAUGGGCGCAAGCCUGAUCCAGCCAUACCGCGUGGGUGAAGAAGGCCUUCGGGUUGUAAAGCCCUUUUGUUGGGAAAGAAAAGCAGCAGGUUAAUACCCCGCUGUUCUGACGGUACCCAAAGAAUAAGCACCGGCUAACUUCGUG